GGCGGUAUAGCUCAGCUGGCUAGAGCAAGCGGUUCAUACCCGCUGUGUCCGGAGUUCAAAUCUCUGUACCGCCACCA
rnacentral:tRNA from 1 species